CGGCGGUGUUAAAACUAACGGAGUUUGCCAUAAACGGCGUCUGGGUUUUCGUGACCGCGACAAAGCCUCGUGUAAGUUACGACGGGGCCCCGCGUUAUACGACACCGUUUGGGAUAAUGUUUGGUUGCAGGGGUAUGAGUGUCCAAUUCGUGAUUGUGGAUAGCGGAGACACUAGCAGACAGAUAAUCAGAUAUUUUUCCGACAAGCUUAUGAAGUCACCAUCUGAUCACGCCGCGGGGAUAAUCGACGGCUCAUACCAUCCGGUUAGAGAUCGCCGAGGAAGUUCGCAAUCUAUCUGAGAAACACUGCGAGGGAUGUUUGGAACUCUUAGUGAGGAGCGGCAUAAACGUCAAGGGGCUGCAACAUCAAUGUUUGGAACUAACGCAGUCAGCGACACGAGCAGGAAAUCAGGAUACCGGUUGGUUGGAGAUGUGGAUUUUGCUCAAGCUUCUUAAGUUGCAGGUUUCAUAACUCCAGUCCCUGGUGGUGUAGGCCCAAUGAUCCUUUUUCAUAGACUUAACGAUACAUUGAAAAUCUUAAAGCAUACGUGAUCCUUUUUCAUAGACUUAACAAAACUUAAGUUAUCAAGUCACAAGCUGCUCAAGGUAUGGCAAAUUCCACAUACCAUGGAUGCUAACUCUCACCUAAUGUAGAUGCUCUAGGUCUAUCUGACAAGAAAUAAACACUCGGAAUAACUUUUCAUGCUUUCUGCAGUUGAACAAAAAGAUUAUAGGUAAAGUAUAACGAAUCAUGCAAGAAAACAAUAGUAGUAAGUAAACUCUGAGAUUCAAACCUGCACAGGGAGAUAGAGCUUGAACUCCGAAGGGAGCUCUUCGUCUGAGUAAAGACGGUCAGCAAAGCAUAUCCUUCUAGGACUGCAGUUAGCAUGAACCUGAACUCGCAAAGUCUCAGCGUAAUUAGUCCCAUAAGCUCUCCUAGUAAGAUCAGUAUCACAUGCGUGUCCAAGUUUGAGCCAAAAAGAUGUUGACGAUGAACUACUAGUUAAUCCCGGUCGCGAGAUGGAAGCAUUGACAGAGAUAUCACCGACUUCGCAAGAUUACAAUAUAUACAUGCUCGGCAAACUGCCACCAAAAUACUUAUUGUAUCUCAAUUCCUGUGGGGACAAAAUGGGGCCCAGUGGUGAUGAAUGUAUUGACGAUGUUCUUAGAGAGAUUCUUACGAAUAAACAUGCUUCCAAAGAGUGUUGUGUAGAGGUAGUAAAAACUGGAAAAGAAUGCUACAUGGAAAUUCAAAAGUUUAUUUUUCGAUUGUAUCAAUUCAAACGCUUUGCUUCUCAAGUUUCUUUCAGAACUAAUCAGGUGUGGGAUAGAUGUUCUUCUGAAGUUGAAACUC